rnacentral:rRNA from 1 species
CAUCACAGUCAUAUUACCCUGCAGCCCAAGAUCGUGAAGCUGAGCCUGGUCAGUACCUGGAUGGGAGACCACAUGGGAAAACUAGGUUGCUGUUGGAA